rnacentral:rRNA from 1 species
UACAGGGGGGGGCAAGCGUUGUUCGGAAUUACUGGGCGUAAAGGGCCAGUAGGCGGCCAACUAAGUCGGAUGUGAAAUCCCCAGGCUUAACCUGGGAACUGCAUCCGAUACUGGAUGGCUUGAAUUCGGGAGAGGGAUGCAGAAUUCCAGGUGUAGCGGUGAAAUGCGCAGAUAUCAGGAGGAACACCGGUGGCGAAGGCGGUUCUCUGGGCAUGAUCUGACGCUGAGGAGCGAAAGUGUGGGGAGCGAACAGG